UACGUAGGUGGCAAGCGUUAUCCGGAAUACUGGGCGUAAAGCGCACGCAGGCGGUCUGUUAAGUUUGACGUGAAAGCUCCCGGCUUAACUGGGAGAGGUCGUUGAAGACUGGCAGACUUGAGGCGAUGAGAGGGGUGUAGAAUUCCCGGUGUAGUGGUGGAAUGCGUAGAUAUCGGGGGGGAAUACCAGUGGCGAAAGCGGCACCCUAGCGUUAGCCUGACGCUCAUGUGCGAAAGCGUGGGGGAGCGAACGGG
rnacentral:rRNA from 1 species